rnacentral:rRNA from 1 species
AUUGAACGCUGGCGGCAGGCCUAACACAUGCAAGUCGAGCGGAUGAAGGGAGCUUGCUCCUGGCUUCAGCGGCGGACGGGUGAGUAAUGCCUAGGAAUCUGCCUUGCAGUGGGGGAUAACGUCCGUUCACGGGCGCUAAUACCGUAUCCGUCCUGAUGUAGAACGUGGGGGUUCUUCGGACCUCACGCUAUCAGCUGAGCCUAGGUCGGAUUAGCUAGUUGGUGAGGUAAAGGCCUACCAAGGCGACGAUCCGUAACUGGCCUGAGAGGAUGAUCAGUCACACUGGAACUGAGACACGGUCCAGACUCCUACGGGAGGCAGCAGUAGGGAAUCUUCGGCAAUGGGCGAAAGCCUGACCGAGCAACGCCGCGUGAGUGAUGAAGGUCUUCGGAUCGUAAAGCUCUGUUAAUAGGGAAGAAGAAAAGUAUAAGUAAACAUGGCUGUCUUGACGGUACCUAAAGAGAAAGCCACGGCUAACUACGUG